GACUCUCGACAACGAAUAUAUCAGCUCUCACAUCAAUGAAGAACGUAGCGAAAUGUGAUACUUGGUGUGAAUUGAAAAAUCUCGUCAACCCUAGCUCUUUGAAUGCAUGUUGCACCCGAAGCCAUUAGGCCAAGGGGAGUUCUGCCUGGGCAUCA
rnacentral:rRNA from 2 species